rnacentral:rRNA from 1 species
AACGAACGCUGGCGGCAUGCCUAACACAUGCCAGUCGAACGAGACCUUCGGGUCUAGUGGCGCACGGGUGCGUAACGCGUGGGAACCUGCCCUUAGGUUCGGAAUAACUCCCCGAAAGGGGUGCUAAUACCGGACAAUGUCUUCGGACCAAAGAUUUAUCGCCUUUGGAUGGGCCCGCGUUGGAUUAGCUAGUUGGUAGGGUAAAAGCCUACCAAGGCGACGAUCCAUAGCUGGUCUGAGAGGAUGAUCAGCCACACUGGGACUGAGACACGGCCCAGACUCCUACGGGAGGCAGCAGUGGGGAAUAUUGGACAAUGGGCGAAAGCCUGAUCCAGCAAUGCCGCGUGAGUGAUGAAGGCCUUAGGGUUGUAAAGCUCUUUUACCCGGGAUGAUAAUGACAGUACCGGGAGAAUAAGCUCCGGCUAACUCCGUG